rnacentral:rRNA from 1 species
GAUGAACGCUGACAGAAUGCUUAACACAUGCAAGUCCACUUGAAUUUGGGUUUUUAACUUAGGUUUGGGUGGCGGACGGGUGAGUAACGCGUAAAGAACUUGCCUCACAGCUAGGGACAACAUUUGGAAACGAAUGCUAAUACCUAAUAUUAUGAUAAUAGGGCAUCCUAUAAUUAUGAAAGCUAUAAGCGCUGUGAGAGAGCUUUGCGUCCCAUUAGCUAGUUGGAGAGGUAACGGCUCACCAAGGCGAUGAUGGGUAGCCGGUCUGAGAGGGUGAUCGGCCACAAGGGGACUGAGACACGGCCCUUACUCCUACGGGAGGCAGCAGUGGGGAAUAUUGGACAAUGGACCGAGAGUCUGAUCCAGCAAUUCUGUGUGCACGAUGAAGUUUUUCGGAAUGUAAAGUGCUUUCCGUUGGGAAGAAACAAAUGACGGUACCAACAGAAGAAGUGACGGCUAAAUACGUG